ACGUUAUCUAUCAAGUCCGCCGCCCAACGGUUGUAGUGAUGUGUCCCAUUAGAUUUAUAUAAAGACAACCCUGUCCCACCCCAUGGAUUGGUAAAAAUAAAUAGAUACUUUUCGAAGGACUUCAACUCCUGAACAACAACAAAAAAUGGACCAAAGGACUUUCCGGGGGACUCAUGACUUGCCUUGAAGACUUCUUUGGUGUGGAAGGGUUCACAGACGAGUUUCUCCAUGUUUCCUCCAGCCAGGAAGAUAAUGGUCACCACUCCCAUCAGCACCAAGGAGAAGAUGAUGCUGAAUCCAACGCCACUGUGGAGAAGGUCAAACAGGCCCUCAGGCUUCAGGCGACUCGGUGCUGAUUUGACAAUGAUUGGACAAUCUUUUACAUCUUGAACAUUGAGACAUCCUGGUUUUCAAGGUGCUCUCUGUCUUCACGACCUUUGACCUGUUUUCCACCCAGAGGGCGGACAGAGGAUACCUGCUGUGCAGCCCAGAGGGGAGAUGUGAUUGGUAGAGCAGCGAUCAGGUGGGCUCUGCUUCUGUCUCUUCGCACAAUAACAUCCUUGUCCUCUCUGCGGAGUGCAGGGGGCCCUCGGCUCCUGGAGACAAGGGGGACUCCUGUUUGUAAACCUUUGAUCAGUGAUUGUGAGCUCCUUCUAUUCACCGAUCACACACACUCAUUAGACCUGCAGAGGGGCAGAUGGGGCCCGCACUACUUACAUUAAAGGGGGGGGGGGUCAAAUGUUAUAAUACAUCCUUCGAUUUACAGUUUAAUUUCAUUGUAUCAGGUACCAAUAAAAACAUGAUUGUGUGGGGGAAAAAAGGAGAAAGAAUUGGGUAUUUUAGAGGAAAGGAGAAAUUACAUACUUUAAAGGGACAGUUCACCCCAAAAUAAAUAAAAUAAAAACACCUGUUGAGCUAUUUAUCUGGAUAGUUUUGGUGUGAGUGUUGAAGAUGUAAGAUGUAAAGAUGUCUGCAUCUCCAAUAUAAUGGAACUACGUGGCAGAUAAUCCACAGAUCCUUGUUGUGAGCAGUUUCAUGUAGGAACUAUUUUCUUUCUACCGAUAUACACCCUCCAACCGUAUCACCGCGCCGAAGCAAGCGUGCAUCAACUCAUGGCCGAGAGGCGUGUGACAGCGUGAGAUGUAAACAUUAACGGUGUCCUCCUUGGCUGAGCUGUAACAUUAUCUAGCUUCAGGAGAGCCUCAUGUCCAAGAGGAGAUGCACGUUUCCUUCUGUGGUGAUACGGUUUGCGGGUGAAGUUUGGUAGAAAGGAAAUCCCUCCGCCAACUCACACCAAAACAAUCUAGAUUUCCUUUAUAGCAGUAGGCUACAGGUAAGAGGAGGAACUGUAUUUAUGUAAAUACUUGUUACUUUUGAGGUACAGUAAUAGAAAACACAACUGAAGUUUUUGGAAAAUUGGUGUUAACAAAAUUGAUAAUCUGCUAAACCUACCAAGUAAUUAUGUACAGUUAUAAUAAGCUUUUGUUCUGUACCCCAAAGGUAACCAGUAUUUAAUAACAGAGUAUCAUUAUUACGCCCUUGUUCCCCAUCGUCUUGUUUUCUUCUUCUGUAUCUGUAUUAGUAGCCUGUAAGCCUUUCAUUGGAGCCUAAUUUAUACAACACAAUUACACAGUAACUCAUGGGCUGUCAAAGUGUUACCAGGACUUCCUCUGUCGCUAUGUAAAAAAUUAAAAUGCAAAAUCAGAUA